GUGACAACUGUUGAUAGAUUUCAAGGUCAACAGAAUGACUAUAUUCUUCUUUCUCUGGUACGAACCAGGGCAGUGGGCCAUCUGAGGGAUGUCCGUCGCUUGGUAGUGGCCAUGUCUAGAGCCAGACUUGGACUUUAUAUCUUCGCCAGAGUAUCCCUCUUCCAAAACUGUUUUGAACUGACUCCAGCUUUCAGUCAGCUCACAGCUCGCCCCCUUCAUUUGCAUAUAAUUCCAACAGAACCUUUCCCAACUACUAGAAAGAAUGGAGAGAGACCAUCUCAUGAAGUACAAAUAAUAAAAAAUAUGCCCCAGAUGGCAAACUUUGUAUACAACAUGUACAUGCAUUUGAUACAGACUACACAUCAUUAUCAUCAG
rnacentral:circRNA from 1 species